GAUGAACGCUAGCUACAGGCUUAACACAUGCAAGUCGAGGGGCAGCAUGGUCUUAGCUUGCUAAGACUGAUGGCGACCGGCGCACGGGUGAGUAACACGUAUCCAACCUGGCCCAUACUCGGGUAUAGCCUCUCGAAAGGGAGAUUAAUCCCCGAUGUUGUUGUUAUGUCGCAUGAUGUUUCAACCAAAGAAUUUCGGUAUGGGAUGGGGAUGCGUUCCAUUAGCCUGUUGGCGGGGUAACGGCCCACCAAGGCGACGAUGGAUAGGGGUUCUGAGAGGAAGGUCCCCCACACUGGAACUGAGACACGGUCCAG
rnacentral:rRNA from 1 species